UGGGGAAUUUUGGACAAUGGGCGAAAGCCUGAUCCAGCAAUGCCGCGUGUGUGAAGAAGGCCUUCGGGUUGUAAAGCACUUUUGUCCGGAAAGGAAAUCCUUGGCUCUAAUACAGUCGGGGGAUGACGGUACCGGAAGAAUAAGCACCGGCUAACUACGUGCCAGCAGCCGCGGUAAUACGUAGGGUGCAAGCGUUAAUCGGAAUUACUGGGCGUAAAGCGUGCGCAGGCGGUUUGCUAAGACCGAUGUGAAAUCCCCGGGCUCAACCUGGGAACUGCAUUGGUGACUGGCAGGCUAGAGUAUGGCAGAGGGGGGUAGAAUUCCACGUGUAGCAGUGAAAUGCGUAGAGAUGUGGAGGAAUACCGAUGGCGAAGGCAGCCCCCUGGGCCAAUACUGACGCUCAUGCACGAAAGCGUGGGGGAGCAAACAGGAUUAGAUACCCUGGUAGUCCACGCCCUAAAACGAUGUCAACUAGUUGUUGGGGGAUUCAUUUCCUUAGUAACGUAGCUAACGCGUGAAGUUGACCGCCU
rnacentral:rRNA from 1 species